UACAGAGGUCUCAAGCGUUGUUCGGAUUCAUUGGGCGUAAAGGGUGCGUAGGCGGCGCGGUAAGUCGGGUGUGAAAUCUCGGAGCUUAACUCCGAAACUGCAUUCGAUACUGCCGUGCUUGAGGACUGGAGAGGAGACUGGAAGUUUACGGUGUAGCGGUGAAAUGCGUAGAUAUCGUAAGGAAGACCAGUGGCGAAGGCGGGUCUCUGGACAGUUCCUGACGCUGAGGCACGAAGGUCAGGGGAGCAAACGGGG
rnacentral:rRNA from 1 species